AUGGCAGACUGAGUGAUGCGGGCAAGAGAGGUGCAGCGGUUUAUUCCGUAAGGCCAAUUACAGUCAAAGUAUUUUUAAAUUGGAUAUGCAGCCAUGCUUUAUGAAAAGUUAUUUCCAAUGGCACAGCAAAACUGGCAUAUGAGACCUUAUCCUGAGAUGUAACUUUUGCAGCCUGAGUUUCAAACGGUCCUGAUCGAAAACCAGUCCUUGCUCCUUCUUGUGUACUUCACUGCCACAUGGUGUGGACCUUGCAAGAUGCUGGGACCUGAGUAUGAGAGAGCUUCUACCCUGCCCGAGUACAAGGAUGUCAAGUUUGUGAAGGUGGAUGUGGAUGAGGCUGAGGACGUUUCUGCAUACUGUAAAAUCACCGUCAUGCCCAUGAUCCAUUUCUACAAAGACGGAAAAAAGGUUGAUGAGAUGUCUGGAGCCAAUAGAGAUAGGAUGAUUGAACUGCUGCAUAAGCAUAUGAAAUGACUCACCCAAGAUCUUACUAAAGGAAAAUCAGAAUCUUGGGGUGUAUUUGCUCAGUUGUGGUUCAGUAGGUAUGUUAGAAUGACGUGUGUUUAGAAAAUGUGUAUGUAGCAAAAUGAAUGUAAUGAGCACUGAUAAAAGUAGUCAGGAAAAGCAAUACAAGGUAUAUC